AUUAGGGGCAUUUGAUAGGAAAUUUAACUGCUUGGGACCGCCGGUCAGAGCCAUGUGGCAGACAAAAUGUGACUAUGAUCCAACUCUGACCCAUAGCACAAUAUAUCGAACUUAGUCCUUGCCACUCGGGCCCAUCGAUCACGGUUUUUUUUUGCCAUAUGGCUCUGACCGGUGGGCCUGAGCGAUUAGAUUGCCUGUCAAAUAUCCUAAUCUC